rnacentral:rRNA from 1 species
GAUGAACGCUGGCGGCGUGCCUAAUACAUGCAAGUCGAGCGAACAGACGAGGAACUUGCUCCUCUGACGUUAGCGGCGGACGGGUGAGUAACACGUGGAUAACCUACCUAUAAGACUGGGAUAACUUCGGGAAACCGGAGCUAAUACCGCAUAAUAUAUUGAACCGCAUGGUUCAAUAGUGAAAGACGGUUUUGCUGUCACUUAUAGAUGUAUCCGCGCCGCAUUAGCUAGUUGGUAAGGUAACGGCUUACCAAGCCAACGAUGAGUAGCCGACCUGAGAGGGUGAUCGGCCACACUGGAACUGAGACACGGUCCAGACUCCUACGGGAGGCAGCAGUAGGGAAUCUUCCGCAAUGGGCGAAAACCUGACGGAGCAACGCCGCGUGAGUGAUGAAGGUCUUCGGAUCGUAAAACUCUGUUAUUAGGGAAGAACAAAUGUGUAAGUAACUAUGCACGUCUUGACGGUACCUAAUCAGAAAGCCACGGCUAACUACGUG